GUCAGUGUCAGUUAGCCCGCAGAAGCCCCGCCUGUGCCAGUUACAGCAGGAUAUACACAGAGAUUAAAACUACAAUUGCGGGCGAACGGCGGCACGGAUCAGACCAAGGAAAAAGCCUGGCACUAUGAUAGGGGGCCCGUAUUGAUCUCUGCAGUGGAGUCCCUUUUUUUCCAUAUAUGACACAGAUGUUGAAACUUGUAACCAAGGUCAGAACAUUUUCAGGAACUAACAAGAAUUGGAGUUGUGAGAAGAACAGAUACUCAUGAUGAAGAAGGACACCAGCUCAAUAGUCUUUUUAUCCCUAAGUUUUUGGAGUUGGACAUCUGUAUUCAGU